UACGAAGGGUGCAAGCGUUAAUCGGAAUUACUGGGCGUAAAGCGUGCGCAGGCGGCUUGUCGCGUCAACUGUGAAAACCCGUGGCUCAACCAUGUGGUCUGCAGUCGAUACGGGCAGGCUAGAAUUCGGUAGGGGAGACUGGAAUUCCUGGUGUAGCGGUGAAAUGCGCAGAUAUCAGGAGGAACACCGGUGGCGAAGGCGGGUCUCUGGGCCGAUAUUGACGCUGAGGAGCGAAAGCGUGGGGAGCGAACAGG
rnacentral:rRNA from 1 species